UGGCUGCAUGGCUGUCGUCAGCUCGUGUCGUGAGAUGUUGGGUUAAGUCCCGCAACGAGCGCAACCCUUGCCUUUAGUUGCCAGCAGUUCGGCUGGGCACUCUAAAGGGACUGCCGGUGUUAAACCGGAGGAAGGUGGGGAGUGACGUCAAGUCCUCAUGGCCUUUAUGACCAGGGCUACACACGUACUACAAUGGCCGAUACAAAGGGCAGCGACACUGCGAGGUGAAGCCAAUCCCGUAAAAUCGGUCUCAGUCCGGAUUGGAGUCUGCAACUCGACUCCAUGAAGUUGGAAUCGCUAGUAAUCGUGGAUCAGCAUGCCACGGUGAAUACGUUCCCGGGCCUU
rnacentral:rRNA from 1 species